GGGGGGUUGUGAAAAGGGUUUUGCAAAAGUUAAAGAAGUCAAUAAAGACACAGAUGCAAACAAACUAAUUUAAGCUAGCAUGGUAAUUAAACUAACACUAUUAAAAACCUUAGACAACAUUCAAACAAAAUAAAAUAAAAUACUAGACCCCAACAAGACAACAAACAACUACCCAACACAGUUAAAUUAAAUUAAAUGCAAAACUAAAUUAGAGAAAUCAUAAGCAACUAAUCCUAAUAUGCAAAUUAAUUUAAAACAAAAAAGCAAACACAAAUUUUUCCUAGCAAUUCAUGUGACCAAGUGUGCACCAAAUAAAGAAAUUGAAAAUGAAAAUGGCCUAAGAAGACCCCUUUUACGUAAGCCACUCCACCACAUUCUAAAUUGACUUUCUUCCUUCAAUAAACCAUGCAUAUGUUGCCUUCUUUUGUUCCAUGUGCUUCAUUCUCCAAGAAAAUGCUUCCUUCUACCUUUCUACCAUACAAAAAUGUGCUUCUCUCUCUCCAUCAAUGCAAAUUGCCAAACCCACACUCCU
rnacentral:lncRNA from 1 species